rnacentral:lncRNA from 13 species
AGCUCUUGGGGCUGAGAGAAGCAGAACACCGAGCUCUGAGCGCGGAGGCUUUCUGGAGAACUCUUGGAGAUAAAGUACUGGAAACGUGUACCCACAGGCAGGCCGGCAAGCCGAAUCAGACUUGUUAGUGCUACGUUGGUUGAAUGUUGAAAGCGGUUCACUGAAAGUGACAGUUUACAUUUUGGAACGAUGGAAUCGAUGCCAUUCUUUCUGACGGUGGUCCAACCCCAGGUCCAAUCACCUGUUUAAGGACAUUUUCAGCUGGUGACAAAAUAAUCCCAUUAUUAAGAGUUAAUAAUUUUAAUAUGAGGAAAAAUACUAUAACUCAACAGAAAAGGACAAACGACAAGAAAAAAAAAAAAAACACAACCGAAAAACUAAGCAAUACAGGCCGCCAGCAGAGGUAUGGUGCAUAGGCUGGGUGAUGCCACAGUAAGAAGCAACCCCCCACAACUUGAGUGGCUUAAACCGUAACGUCUGUUUCUUGCUCACACGCCAGGGCAAGCCAGAGUCCCAGGUGUUUCUUCCCAUCAAUCUAGACCAGAGGCUUUUGGAGGCUCAGUCUCAAUACAGGCUCUCAGACUGCAGGAGGACCAGGGACAGUGGAAGAAGUGAACAUUUACUGGUGGGAACUCCCUCCAGAAGCCACACACAUGGCGUUCACGCGCACCUCCUUGGCCAAGAGUCCCGCGGCCACACCCAUCCUCAGAGCAGGUGGAGAUGCGAGCUUACCUGAGCCCCGGAGGAGCAUCCAACUUCAGUGGGAACAAAGCCGGCCACCUGGAGAGAAAGUGCCAACUCAUUGCCAAAGAAAUGCAAACCGGAGCAGCCAGGAGACACCGUGUGAUUGUUUGCCAAAGUCGACAGAAGCAAAAGUGAUGGAACCUUGGCCUUUAGGUCUGGGCAGGGGUCCUGGGGCAGCCUUUGAAACCCUCUCCAACGGACACACACCCGCUGGGAGCCCCUGGACGAACUCCUGCCCCCAGGAAACCGAAACUCCCUGUGGACACCAGGACCCUCCUCCCAGAGGAAGAACAGCUGAGCUGCUCCCUGACAGAAAAAGACAGUUCCAGAACUCGGGAAGAGGGAAGAAAGAGGGCACUAAAUCUCCUCUCAUCAUCGUAAUGAUGAAGCCCGCGGCGUCCCGGCCCCAUCCCCAUGCCCUCCACGACAACAAAGUGCUCUAUUGUGAUCUAUUACAUUUUUCUCAAAAAACCUUCAGCCGAGCACAAGGCCAGCGCCAUAUCCUGCACUGGCUCUCCCUCAUUGUCCCCGCCGAGGGAAACGGAAUGUGUCAGUCUGAGUAAUGCGCCUUCAAUGCUUCUCAGGAGCCGCUGGCUCAGCCGGGAUAAAGCCGCCCCCACCCUUUCUCAGGCCCGGUCGGGGAUGAAAGCUGCCCGCGCCGGGACAGCCACCGCGCGCGCCACCUGGUCCACGGGCCGGGGCCAGUUUGGCGGACAGGGCUGGUGGCCGGCCCCUUCCCUGCUCCCACCCCCCGCCGUGGGUCCAGGGGUUACAAUGGGGGCAGGGGGUACUUGGAGACGGGGAGCGGGAGUCACGGGAGCAACAGGGAACCAGCCCUCAAGAGCUGGAGGGGAAGCUGGGGGGGAAGACACUCAAGAGCUGGGAGAAAGUAGGUACCAGGGCGUGAGCUUGGCCACAGUCUUGGGGCAAACGCACCCUGCUCUGCCCUGUCCCACCUGGCCCCAGCCCCUGCCCCGCCGGUGACCAAGAGGCAGCAGCAGGUCCCACCAGCGUCUGAAUGACAAAGCCCUUACACCCACCCUUCCCACAACUUCCAUGUACGUGGCUAUCAAAAUCAAACCCGGCUACCUACAUCUUGUCGUUCAUUCAUACACUCUCGUGCA